UUAUAUGAGAGUUUGAUCCUGGCUCAGGAUGAACGCUGGCGGCGUGCCUAAUACAUGCAAGUCGAACGAGUUCUUGUUGAUGAUCGGUGCUUGCACCAAGAUUCAACAUGGAACGAGUGGCGGACGGGUGAGUAACACGUGGGUAACCUGCCCUUAAGUGGGGGAUAACAUUUGGAAACAGAUGCUAAUACCGCAUAGAUCCAAGAACCGCAUGGUUCUUGGCUGAAAGAUGGCGUAAGCUAUCGCUUUUGGAUGGACCCGCGGCGUAUUAGCUAGUUGGUGAGGUAAUGGCUCACCAAGGCGAUGAUACGUAGCCGAACUGAGAGGUUGAUCGGCCACAUUGGGACUGAGACACGGCCCAAACUCCUACGGGAGGCAGCAGUAGGGAAUCUUCCACAAUGGACGCAAGUCUGAUGGAGCAACGCCGCGUGAGUGAAGAAGGCUUUCGGGUCGUAAAACUCUGUUGUUGGAGAAGAAUGGUCGGCAGAGUAACUGUUGUCGGCGUGACGGUAUCCAACCAGAAAGCCACGGCUAACUACGUGCCAGCAGCCGCGGUAAUACGUAGGUGGCAAGCGUUAUCCGGAUUUAUUGGGCGUAAAGCGAGCGCAGGCGGUUUUUUAAGUCUGAUGUGAAAGCCCUCGGCUUAACCGAGGAAGCGCAUCGGAAACUGGGAAACUUGAGUGCAGAAGAGGACAGUGGAACUCCAUGUGUAGCGGUGAAAUGCGUAGAUAUAUGGAAGAACACCAGUGGCGAAGGCGGCUGUCUGGUCUGUAACUGACGCUGAGGCUCGAAAGCAUGGGUAGCGAACAGGAUUAGAUACCCUGGUAGUCCAUGCCGUAAACGAUGAAUGCUAGGUGUUGGAGGGUUUCCGCCCUUCAGUGCCGCAGCUAACGCAUUAAGCAUUCCGCCUGGGGAGUACGACCGCAAGGUUGAAACUCAAAGGAAUUGACGGGGGCCCGCACAAGCGGUGGAGCAUGUGGUUUAAUUCGAAGCAACGCGAAGAACCUUACCAGGUCUUGACAUCUUUUGAUCACCUGAGAGAUCAGGUUUCCCCUUCGGGGCAAAAUGACAGGUGGUGCAUGGUUGUCGUCAGCUCGUGUCGUGAGAUGUUGGGUUAAGUCCCGCAACGAGCGCAACCCUUAUGACUAGUUGCCAGCAUUUAGUUGGGCACUCUAGUAAGACUGCCGGUGACAAACCGGAGGAAGGUGGGGAUGACGUCAAAUCAUCAUGCCCCUUAUGACCUGGGCUACACACGUGCUACAAUGGAUGGUACAACGAGUUGCGAGACCGCGAGGUCAAGCUAAUCUCUUAAAGCCAUUCUCAGUUCGGACUGUAGGCUGCAACUCGCCUACACGAAGUCGGAAUCGCUAGUAAUCGCGGAUCAGCACGCCGCGGUGAAUACGUUCCCGGGCCUUGUACACACCGCCCGUCACACCAUGAGAGUUUGUAACACCCGAAGCCGGUGGCGUAACCCUUUUAGGGAGCGAGCCGUCUAAGGUGGGACAAAUGAUUAGGGUGAAGUCGUAACAAGGUAGCCGUAGGAGAACCUGCGGCUGGAUCACCUCCUUU
rnacentral:rRNA from 1 species